rnacentral:misc_RNA from 1 species
UGAGUGCUACUGGGAAUUUGAAUCAGACAUUUCUUCUUUUCUGCACGAAAUUGAAAGAUUUCAUGUAGUUCAGUCUAGACGUAAAAAAUCUUCAAGUAAGCAAAAGGGAAGGCCUAUAGAGACAACUGAAUCUAACAAGAAAGCCAAAGAGUUUCAACAGUACGAAAGCAGUCCUGAAUUUCUUUCUGGAGGAUCACUGCAUCCAUACCAGCUUGAAGGGCUGAAUUUCCUGCGUUUUGCUUGGUCCAAACAGACACAUGUCAUUCUUGCUGAUGAA